rnacentral:tRNA from 1 species
GGGCGAGUGGUGAAACUGGCAGACACGUACGGUUCAGAGCCGUAUGGACGAAAGUCCUUGGAGGUUCAAAUCCUCUCUCGCCCA